UACGGGGGGGGCAAGCGUUGUCCGGAAUUACUGGGCGUAAAGGGCUCGUAGGCGGCCAACUAAGUCAGACGUGAAAUCCCCAGGCUCAACCUGGGAACUGCGUCUGAUACUGGAUGGCUUGAAUCCGGGAGAGGGAUGCAGAAUUCCAGGUGUAGCGGUGAAAUGCGUAGAUAUCUGGAGGAAUACCGGUGGCGAAGGCGGCAUCCUGGACCGGCAUUGACGCUGAGGAGCGAAAGCUAGGGGAGCAAACGGG
rnacentral:rRNA from 1 species